GACGGAGGGUGCAAGCGUUGCUCGGAAUCAUUGGGCGUAAAGCGCGCGUAGGCGGCCCGGUAAGUCCGCUCUGAAAGUCCAAGGCUCAACCUUGGAAUGCGGGUGGAUACUGCCGGGCUAGAGUCCGGAAGAGGCGAGUGGAAUUCCUGGUGUAGCGGUGGAAUGCGUAGAUAUCGUAAGGAAGACCAGUGGCGAAGGCGGGUCUCUGGACAGUUCCUGACGCUGAGGCACGAAGGCCAGGGGAGCAAACGGG
rnacentral:rRNA from 1 species